rnacentral:rRNA from 1 species
GGGGAAAAAUUUAUUGCUAUUAGAUGAGCCUAUAUUAGAUUAGCUAGUUGGUGGAGUAAUAGCCUACCAAGGCAAUGAUCUAUAGCUGAUCUGAGAGGAUGAUCAGCCACACUGGAACUGAGAUACGGUCCAGACUCCUACGGGAGGCAGCAGUGGGGAAUAUUGGACAAUGGGCGAAAGCCUGAUCCAGCCAUGCCGCAUGAGUGAAGAAGGCCUUUGGGUUGUAAAGCUCUUUUAGUGAGGAAGAUAAUGACGGUACUCACAGAAGAAGUCCUGGCUAACUCCGUGCCAGCAGCCGCGGUAAUACGGAGAGGGCUAGCGUUAUUCGGAAUUAUUGGGCGUAAAGGGUGCGUAGGCGGAUUAGUAAGUUAAAAGUGAAAUCCCAAGGCUCAACCUUGGAAUUGCUUUUAAAACUGCUAAUCUAGAGAUUGAAAGAGGAUAGAGGAAUUCGUAGUGUAGAGGUGAAAUUCGUAAAUAUUAGGAGGAACACCAGUGGCGAAGGCGUCUAUCUGGUUCAAAUCUGACGCUGAGGCGCGAAGGCGUGGGGAGCAAACAGGAUUAGAUACCCUGGUAGUCCACGCUGUAAACGAUGAAUGUUAAAUAUGGGAAGUUUUACUUUCUGUAUUACAGCUAACGCGUUAAACAUUCCGCCUGGGGACUACGGUCGCAAGAUUAAAACUCAAAGGAAUUGACG